GCUAACAAAGAUCUAUGUAUAUCCCAAGACCACAAUUAUCCUCUUUCCAGUUGCUUUAAAUCUAUUCCCAAUUAGACAUACCAAUCAAAUAUUGUAAAAACUAUGCAUAAACAAAUUAUUUAAACUUUUAAUGUAAAAAAUAUUGAUAGUAGAAACAUCUAUUUCAUUCCUGGAUCAUCAAAGCCUCACCACUUUUAAGAAUGAAGAUGGGUUCUAAUUUUACCAUGACUGCCCAGAAGAGAAGUUAAUGUACCACAGCCCCAUGUUUCCAUAGGCUUCCUAUCUCUGCUGAAUUUUCUGUUCUCACAUAACAAUUAUAUUAAUUUUGGCUAUGAAACAAAGAAAAAAACACUAAAAAAUUAAAGCUGCUAUUUCUUAUAGGAAAACACCUUUGCCAGUAAAAUUCUCAACUUGU
rnacentral:lncRNA from 1 species